UACAGAGGGUGCAAGCGUUAAUCGGAAUUACUGGGCGUAAAGCGCGCGUAGGUGGGUAGUUAAGUUAUGUGUGAAAGCCCCGGGCUCAACCUGGGAAUUGCACGUAAGACUGGCUAUCUAGAGUAUAGUAGAGGGAAGUAGAAUUUCCGGUGUAGCGGUGAAAUGCAUAGAUAUCGGAAGGAAUACCAGUGGCGAAGGCGACUUCCUGGGCUAUUACUGACACUGAGGCGCGAAAGCGUGGGGAGCAAACAGG
rnacentral:rRNA from 1 species